rnacentral:rRNA from 1 species
AGUGAACGCUGGCGGUAGGCCUAACACAUGCAAGUCGAACGGCAGCACAGUAAGAGCUUGCUCUUACGGGUGGCGAGUGGCGGACGGGUGAGGAAUACAUCGGAAUCUACUUUUUCGUGGGGGAUAGCGUAGGGAAACUUACGCUAAUACCGCAUACGACCUACGGGUGAAAGCAGGGGAUCUUCGGACCUUGCGCGAUUGAAUGGGCCGAUGUCGGAUUAGCUAGUUGGCGGGGUAAGGGCCCACCAAGGCGACGAUCCGUAGCUGGUCUGAGAGGAUGAUCAGCCACACUGGAACUGAGACACGGUCCAGACUCCUACGGGAGGCAGCAGUGGGGAAUAUUGGACAAUGGGCGCAAGCCUGAUCCAGCCAUACCGCGUGGGUGAAGAAGGCCUUCGGGUUGUAAAGCCCUUUUGUUGGGAAAGAAAAGCAGCAGGUUAAUACCCCGCUGUUCUGACGGUACCCAAAGAAUAAGCACCGGCUAACUUCGUG